rnacentral:rRNA from 1 species
UACGUAGGAUGCGAGCGUUGUCCGGAAUUAUUGGGCGUAAAGGGCUCGUAGGUGGCCAACUAAGUCAGACGUGAAAUCCCUCAGCUUAACUGGGGAACUGCGUCUGAUACUGGAUGGCUUGAGUUUGGGAGAGGGAUGCGGAAUUCCAGGUGUAGCGGUGAAAUGCGUAGAUAUCUGGAGGAACACCGGUGGCGAAGGCGGCAUCCUGGACCAACACUGACACUGAGGAGCGAAAGCCAGGGGAGCAAACGGG